AUUGAACUCUGGCGGCAGGUCUAACACAUGCAAGUCGAGCGGAGCGGCGGACGGGUGAGUAAUGCCUAGGAAUCUGCCUGGUAGUGGGGGAUAACGUCCGGACACGGGCGCUAAUACCGCAUACUAUCAGAUGAGCCUAGGUCGGAUGAGCUAGUUGGUGGGGUAAAGGGCUACCAAGGCGAAGAUCCGUAACUGGUCUUAGAGGAUGAUCAGUCACACUGGAACUAAGACACGGACCAAACUCAUACGGGAGGAAGCAGUGGGGAAUAUUGGAAAAUGGGGGAAAGACUGAUCCAGCCGUGCCGCGUGUGUGAAGGAGGUCUUCGGAUUGUAAAGAAAUUUAAGUUGGAAGGCGUUACCAACAGAAUAAGCACAGGAUAACUUCGUGCCAGCAGCCGCGGUAAUAC
rnacentral:rRNA from 1 species